rnacentral:rRNA from 1 species
UACGAGGGGGGCGAGCGUCGUUCGGAUUCAUUGGGCGUAAAGGGUGCGUAGGCGGUGAGGUAAGUUGGAUGUGAAAUCCCGGGGCUUAACCCCGGAACUGCAUUCAAUACUGCCUUGCUAGAGUACUGGAGAGGAGAUUGGAAUUCACGGUGUAGCAGUGAAAUGCGUAGAUAUCGUGAGGAAGACCAGUGGCGAAGGCGAAUCUCUGGACAGUGACUGACGCUGAGGCACGAAGGCUAGGGGAGCAAACGGG